GCCCUAGAAAAAUCAUCAACUAUAGUAAGGAAGUAUUUAUAACCAGAAGAAGUAGAAGUGUGGUAGGGCCCCCAAGUAUCCACAUGUAUUAACUGGAAUGGUCAAGUGGUACUGAUACUGCUGUCAUGAAAAGGGAGUGUAGUCUAUUUGGCCAUAGGGCAGACAGAACAAGGAAAAGGUUGUUUAGAAGCAAGUGGAAAAGACAAACCAGAAAUAUGUCUCAAAUUUGCAAAAGGAGUAUGUGCUNNNNNNNNNCAGAACAAGGAAAAGGUUGUUUAGAAGCAAGUGGAAAAGACAAACCAGAAAUAUGUCUCAUAUUUGCAAAAGGAGUAUGUGCUAGUCUUAAAUGCCAAAAGUAAUUCAUAUCAGUGGUAACAACAUUAUUACAAAUGGAAUUAUUUACAAUUGGAGGCAAGCCAACAAUUUUACUGUCAGGCACAUUGUCAUCAUUACAAAAAUCAGACAAAGCACACAGAAGUAAAAGGAGAACCAGGAGAGAAAGAAGUGGAAGAAGGCACCCAAGACAGUUUGUAUAAGCCAGCAUCCUCUUUACCAAGAUCCAG
rnacentral:lncRNA from 1 species